rnacentral:tRNA from 1 species
UAUGACAGAUUAUAUGUAAUGGAUUUAAACUCCGUUUAUAAAGGAAUAUCCUUUUUUUAGAAU